UCCGGUUUGGCACCGGCAGUCUCCGAUGAGUCCCCGACAUAACUCGCUGGCAACAUCGGACAGGGGUUGCGCUCGUUGCGCCACUUAAGGCAACACCUCACGGCACGAGCUGACGACAGCCAUGCAGCACCUGUCUCUCGGCUCCCGAAGGCACCCCCACAUCUCUGCAGGGUUCCGAGGAUGUCAAGACCAGGUAAGGUUCUUCGCGUUGCAUCGAAUUGAACCACAUGCUCCGCUGCUUGUGCGGGUCCCCGUCAAUUCCUUUGAGUUUUAGCCUUGCGGCCGUACUCCCCAGGCGGAAUGCUUAAAGCGUUAGCUGCGCCACUGAAGGGUAAACCCACCAACGGCUAGCAUUCAUCGUUUACGGCGUGGACUAC
rnacentral:misc_RNA from 1 species